CCCUAAUCCCCGAUAUCGAUCCUCACAUCUCUCUCGCCCCACCCCCCACACUGCGCGCCCCCGCCGCCGCCCCCUACGUGCGACGCCGCCCCUGAUCCACGCGCUCCUCGCCCGCCUCGAGGGCGAGCUGAGCAGCUCGAGAAGGGCGUGGAGCCGGCGUGAGAGAAGCUGGUCCACCCGCUCGAGCGCAUCGUCGACCGGCUCGACGUCGUCUGGAACGUCGUCGACCACCUCAAGGCCGUCAAGGACUCGGCCGACCUCCGCGCCGCCGUCGAGGACGUCCAGCCCGAGAAAGUGAAAUUCUAUCUGAGGCUGGGGCAGAGCAAGCCUAUCUACGAGGCCUUCAACGCCAUCAGGAAUUCUUCAGACUGGGACAGCCUCAGCGACGCCCGCAAGCGUGUCGUCGAAGAGCCCAGCUGGACCAUUGAUCUUCGGUGCUGAACCUGAUUAAGUGUGCAGCCCUGCAGUCUUCAGUGCAAAACCUCAAGAGGAUAUCUUAGGCGAAUGUUCAUGUGACGAGCUCCUCGGCAUUGCAUUCUGUUUACAACUGUUCCUCUGAUUGUUAGUUCGUUCUCUGCAUCUUUACCGCAAUCGCUCACUGAGCAGCAACUAUGCCGUCUUAGUGGUGGCAAACAGCAAUUGAUUCAUUGGCGGGUGAUACAGGAGGGUACCCUGUGAUGUACUGCUUAUGGCAAUAUCAUCUUAGUGCUGGCAAACUACAAUUGGCUCAUUGAGUUUAUUAUGUCUUUGUGAUGAUAUGGGGUAGUAGUUCUGUGAUGCACUACAUAUUUAGUGAGAUGUACUAUGAAAUUAUCAAAGUGGGCUGUACUAUGUUGGAUAGAAUUUUAUGUUUGGACUUGGGUGAAUGUAACCAGACUUAUACUCUCAGAUUUUGUCAUAGUUGAUGGUGUGAGGACUUAUAAUGUGAUUAGUAUAUAUAUAUGGUGUGAGGACUUAUAA